rnacentral:rRNA from 1 species
UACGUAGGGUGCAAGCGUUAUCCGGAAUUAUUGGGCGUAAAGAGCUCGUAGGCGGUUUGUCACGUCUGCUGUGAAAACUGGAGGCUCAACCUCCAGCCUGCAGUGGGUACGGGCAAACUAGAGUGCGGUAGGGGAGAUUGGAAUUCCUGGUGUAGCGGUGGAAUGCGCAGAUAUCAGGAGGAACACCGAUGGCGAAGGCAGAUCUCUGGGCCGUAACUGACGCUGAGGAGCGAAAGCAUGGGGAGCGAACAGG